AUGGAUCAAAAGGUCUGUGGCGGAUGGAUGGAUAUGUAGGUAAAGAGACAGUUAGGAGGGUGAGUGGGUGGAUAGGUAGGUUAAAACAUAGAUAUACAAAGGGAGGAAGACAGAAAGAUUCCUAGAUUGAUGGAUGAAAGGGUCUGUCACUGGAAGAAUGGGUAGGUGGUAAAGAGAUAAGAUAGGGUGGUUGGGUGGAUAGGGAGGUAGGUUUCUAGAUGGAUGGAUCAAAAGGUCUGUGACUGGACGAAUGGAUAUGUAGGUAAAAAGAUAGGAGGGUGAGUACAUGGAUAGGUAGGCUAAAAGACAGACA